rnacentral:rRNA from 1 species
AUGACUACUGUCCGAGUUCUUCUUACAGUUGCCCUGGUCAUCUCCCUGCUCGCCCUUGGCCAUCAUCCUCUCGCUCAUGCUCGCCACGUGAAGGACCCGUCCAUACCAACCGGUGAUUCCUCGUCUGUAAAGAAAGGAUUACAGCAAGGGAGCAACAUGAAGCUCGAUGCCGGGAAGACGAAGAAAGUUGAAAACGUGAGAGUGGAGGAGACACCAAAGGGAUCUGUUGAACCAAGCUUUGGCAACCGGGGGAGCCUUGGUGCUGAGUCUGAUAAGGUGGCCGUGCUUGCUCGCCGUGGAGAACCACCCAAGCCUCACCCGAAAAAACACAACUAA